rnacentral:rRNA from 1 species
UGCAGUCGAACGGCAGCACGAGAGAGCUUGCUCUCUUGGUGGCGAGUGGCGGACGGGUGAGGAAUACAUCGGAAUCUACCUUUUGGUGGGGGAUAACGUAGGGAAACUUACGCUAAUACCGCAUGCGCCCUUCGGGGGAAAGCCGGGGACCUUCGGGCCUGGCGCUGAUAGAUGAGCCGAUGUCGGAUUAGCUAGUUGGUGAGGUAAUGGCUCACCAAGGCGACGAUCCGUAGCUGGUCUGAGAGGAUGAUCAGCCACACUGGAACUGAGACACGGUCCAGACUCCUACGGGAGGCAGCAGUGGGGAAUAUUGGACAAUGGGCGCAAGCCUGAUCCAGCCAUACCGCGUGGGUGAAGAAGGCCUUCGGGUUGUAAAGCCCUUUUGUUGGGAAAGAAAAGCGAUCGGUUAAUACCCGGUUGUUCUGACGGUACCCAAAGAAUAAGCACCGGCUAACUUCGUGCCAGCAGCCGCGGUAAUACGAAGGGUGCAAGCGUUACUCGGAAUUACUGGGCGUAAAGCGUGCGUAGGUGGUGGUUUAAGUCCGUUGUGAAAGCCCUGGGCUCAACCUGGGAAUUGCAGUGGAUACUGGGUCACUAGAGUGUGGUAGAGGAUAGUGGAAUUUCCGGUGUAGCAGU